rnacentral:rRNA from 1 species
UGGGGAAUAUUGGACAAUGGGGGGAACCCUGAUCCAGCCAUGCCGCGUGUGUGAAGAAGGCCUUAUGGUUGUAAAGCACUUUAAGCGAGGAGGAGGGUACUGGUAUUAAUACUACCAGCUACUGGACGUUACUCGCAGAAUAAGCACCGGCUAACUCUGUGCCAGCAGCCGCGGUAAUACAGGGGGUGCGAGCGUUAAUCGGAUUUACUGGGCGUAAAGCGUGCGUAGGCGGCUAAUUGAGUCGGAUGUGAAAUCCCCGAGCUUAACUUGGGAAUUGCAUUCGAUACUGGUUAGCUAGAGUGUGGGAGAGGAUGGUAGAAUUCCAGGUGUAGCGGUGAAAUGCGUAGAGAUCUGGAGGAAUACCGAUGGCGAAGGCAGCCAUCUGGCCUAACACUGACGCUGAGGUGCGAAAGCGUGGGGAGCAAACAGG